rnacentral:rRNA from 1 species
GGUAAAGGCCUACCAUGGCGACGAUCUGUAGCUGGUCUGAGAGGAUGAUCAGCCACACCGGGACUGAGACACGGCCCGGACUCCUACGGGAGGCAGCAGUGGGGAAUAUUGGACAAUGGGGGCAACCCUGAUCCAGCCAUGCCGCGUGUGUGAAGAAGGCCUUUUGGUUGUAAAGCACUUUAAGCAGUGAAGAAGACUCCGUGGUUAAUACCCACGGACGAUGACAUUAGCUGCAGAAUAAGCACCGGCUAACUCUGUGCCAGCAGCCGCGGUAAUACAGAGGGUGCAAGCGUUAAUCGGAAUUACUGGGCGUAAAGGGAGCGUAGGUGGCUCUAUAAGUCAGAUGUGAAAUCCCCGGGCUCAACCUGGGAACUGCAUCUGAAACUGUAGAGCUGGAGUAUGUGAGAGGAAGGUAGAAUUCCAGGUGUAGCGGUGAAAUGCGUAGAGAUCUGGAGGAAUACCGAUGGCGAAGGCAGCCUUCUGGCAUAAUACUGACACUGAGGCUCGAAAGCGUGGGUAGCAAACAGGAUUAGAUACCCUGGUAGUCCACGCCGUAAACGAUGUCUACUAGUCGUUGGGUCCCUUGAGGACUUAGUGACGCAGCUAACGCAAUAAGUAGACCGCCUGGGGAGUACGGCCGCAAGGUUAAAACUCAAAUGAAUUGACGGGGGCCCGCACAAGCGGUGGAGCAUGUGGUUUAAUUCGAUGCACGCGAGAUCUUACUGAUCUGACAUAUCUAGAUCUGCAGAGAUGCGGAGUGCAUCGGGAUAGAUACAGUGCUGCAUGGCUGUCGUCAGCUCGUUCUGAAUGUAGUUAGUCCGCCACGAGGGCAUCUGGUCUAGUACAGCGGUUAGCGGACUCUAGAACG